CCUUGGAAACUCACAGGGGCAGCCCUACCCUGUCCUGUAGUGUCACUAUGACUUGACAUCUACUCGAUGGCAGUGCGAUUGGUUUUGGUGUGGUGGGUGGCCUCUCACCUUUCACUUAGCAGCUAAGCAUGUGGAACCGUGAGCACCGUCACUGAGGAAGUCCGAGCGGAAAUGCUGUGCCACAGUAUUCAGGGUGGGAAGAGAUGAAGGCCUGUCGGUGAAGAGGAGAGACCAGAUGCGACUAUGAAGAAAGCCGCUCUUCAGAGGCACAUCAGCUGCCACGUUGUGAGCUGCACGAUGGAGAAGUCCAUGUGGCCAGGAACCCAGGAAGGCUUCUAGCCAACAGCCAGCAAAAAACUGAAUGCUGCCAGCAGCCGUAAGAGUGAGCUUGCAAACCCACAUUCCUGCCGUUGGGUCUUGAGAUGAAGCCACAGUCCUGGCCCACAUCUUGAUUGCAACCUUGUGAGAGACCUUGAGGCAGGCAUACCUCGCUUCACCAGGCCCGGAUUCCUGACCCACAUAAACUGUGAGCAAUUGGAUGCUUGUUUGUUAUUUUAAGUUGCGUCCUUUUGGGGUAACUUGUUAUGCAGCAAUAGUUCACGGAUACAGAAUGAUUGAACUAAAAACAUCCUAGAAAAAUAAGUUGAAUAAAGAAAAAGUUUGAGAAAA